AUUAUCAAAUUUUCAACUUGAGAGUUUGAUCCUGGCUCAGAACGAACGCUGGCGGCAGGCUUAACACAUGCAAGUCGAGCGCCCCGCAAGGGGAGCGGCAGACGGGUGAGU
rnacentral:rRNA from 1 species